UGCGCUUGUGGUUUUUUCGAGUAUGCCCGUUAAUUGUGUCACCUUCGGGUGUAAUAACUACUAUUAUGGAAAGGGAAACUCGAGCUUCUUCCGAUCGGCAAAAAUGUAUGCGAAGAAAAGGGCUCUGUGGAUAUCUGCAGUGAGGCGUGCAAACCCGGACGGCUCAUUGUGGCAGCCAACAAAGCCUGCUCGAAUAAGCGGGGUGCAGUUCAUCACCGGCCGGCCGUCGAAACUCAUCAAUCAUCCGGACUAUGUACCGAAAGCGUUAACGUACAGCAAGACUCCGGGCGAGGCUGCUGUACGGCGGCACAACCGUUGCGUGAACAGGCAAAGUGACUGCAAACGAGCUGCCAGCACAGGUUAUGGUCUCAAGAAACAGAGCUCCAGUUUUGAAUCACCGGACACUCAGCGUACUGCAGUCAGGGAAGAGCAGUAUG